AUCAGCAGCCGGCGUCAUAAAGACAGAGCAGCAGGUAAACCAGCCAAACCGAAAUACAGCCCGUACAGCAAACCGCAAGGACAGACGAACCAGCCGGUGAAGCUGUCCCUGGGGAAGGAGCGCCUGUGUCCUCUGAACACACAGAUCAUACCGGCUCACCUAGCGGCAGUGGCGGCUGCCAUCAGCAACUCUUUCACGCACCGCACUAAUCACAUUACUAACCACGCCUCGACCCCUAACCUCUUCCAGACUCAGACCCUCCCCGCUGCACUGCUCCGCCCGGCCCCUGGUCCUGUGAGGACCUCCCACCCACAACUCCUCUUUGCCCCUUAUUGACCUGUUUGACCCUGGGGGGGGGUGGAGAUCUGCACCGCCUCCUGUUAAGGACCAAAACAACAUGUGCUACACCCGGACCAGGCCAAGGAGUCGUGUCAGCAUCUGCACUCCUUCUAUGCAUCCGGAAACAUUUUUUCCCACCUCUCCUCACAUGGAUUAUCCCACAUUUAAAGCUAAACCCGGCGAAGCAAUGGGCGCUCUCAUGAUGGAUUAAUUUCUCUGAUCCCACUGAAGAGACCUGGGCUACAAUAUACAUGCUUUCUGUGCCAACCUGCAGCCCACGGAUCACACCCGGACCCCUUACCUGGUUCUACAUUGUACCGCAAUAAUGUAUAAGACUAACCCCGUGAACUAUGCAGUGUCUUUAUUUCAUGAUGCAAGGCACAGUUUGAGCUACAAAUAGGGAAGGGAUAUGCUUUUUGAAAAGAUACAGCGUGGCACUAAGAUCAUGCUUUAGUGGAGGAUUACUGUCGCUCGUAAUUUAAAAGGCUGUAACUGAUAAAAGAGCGAGUAAGGCCCUCCUCAGUUCCUGUAUGCACUUUAAGCUCCUUCUCUGUUGAUGUCUACAUUAGAUGGCUAGACUGUGUUAGAUUGUUAGAGUAUGUGUCGUGAUGUGUGUUUUUGUAUCUGUACAGUAUAUGUGUAUGUGUGUAGAAGUGCGUGCUCCUGCAUGUGUGCUUGUCCAUGUGAAUAAGUAUGUGUGUAAUUGAAUGUGUGUGUGUGUGUGUGUGUGUGUGUGUGUGUGUGUGUGUGUGUGUGUGUGUGUGUGUGUGUGUGUGUGUGUGUGUGUGUGUGUGUGUGUGCUUCUCAUCUGCCAUAAGCCAUUCUAGUUGAUAUCCAGGACACAUUGGGCCUCAUUCAUAAACAUUGCAAACUCACAAAUCUGUGCACAAACCGUGCAAUUGUUUUACUUUUUGUAAUGUAAUGUAACUGUUUUAGUUUUCAUUGUUUUUUAUAGUUAGCCUCUAAGGAUCAGCUUUCCUCAGAAAUUUCUAGUGCAAAAACAAAUUUGAAUUAAUACCAUUCGCAUUGUGUUCAAUACAAAAAUGACCAAUGCGCAUGUGUCAUGAAUCCGUCUAUAAUUUGCCACACUUUUUUGUGUGCAAAGUUUCUACGCUCAUAUUGGUGAGUGGUGAAUGAGGCCCAUUGUCACUGACCAUGUCUCAGGCCAGAGGGACCACAAAGGCUUGUGUAUAGUAACUGUCGGUGUGUAAAAGGUGAAUAAUUUCAAAUAAAAAGAGUCCUUAUUUGUUAA